GACGAACGCUGGCGGCGUGCUUAACACAUGCAAGUCGAACGGAAAGGCCCUGCUUGCAGGGUACUCGAGUGGCGAUCGGGUGAGUAACACGUGGGUGAUCUGCCCUGCACUUCGGGAUAAGCCUGGGAAACUGGGUCUAAUACCGGAUAGGAGCCAUUUUUAGUGUGAUGGUUGGAAAGUUUUUUCGGUGUAGGAUGAGCUCGCGGCCUAUCAGCUUGUUGGUGGGGUAAUGGCCUACCAAGGCGGCGACGGGUAGCCGGCCUGAGAGGGUGGACGGCCACAUUGGGACUGAGAUACGGCCCAGACUCCUACGGGAGGCAGCAGUGGGGAAUAUUGCACAAUGGGCGCAAGCCUGAUGCAGCGACGCCGCGUGGGGGAUGACGGCCUUCGGGUUGUAAACUCCUUUCGCUAGGGACGAAGCUUUUUGUGACGGUACCUAGAUAAGAAGCACCGGCUAACUACGUG
rnacentral:rRNA from 1 species